GUGCUCACUUCAGCAGCACAUAUAGUAAAAUUGGAAUGAUACAAAGAUUAGCAUGGCCCUUGUACAAGGAAGACAUGUAAAUUCAUGGUGUUCCAUAUUUUU